rnacentral:rRNA from 1 species
GACCUGCGGAAGGAUCAUUACUGUGAUUUUUUAACACCACACUGUGUGGGCGCACGAAACACAUAAACUAUAGUAUAACAGCAGUCAACAAAAGAUCUAAAAGAAUAAAACUUUCAACAACGGAUCUCUUGGUUCUCGCAUCGAUGAAGAGCGCAGCGAAAUGCGAUACCUAGUGUGAAUUGCAGCCAUCGUGAAUCAUCGAGUUCUUGAACGCACAUUGCGCCCGUCGGUAUUCCGGCGGGCAUGCCUGUCUGAGCGUCGUUUCCUUCUUGCGGUUUUUGCAAAAAUUAGUUAUAUUUUUUUUGUGGAGACGGCAGAGCUGGCCGUGCCACUGGCCCGGCCGAAAAGAAACGUUGCGGACGAAGCGAACUACAUCGGGACGCUUUGGCCGCCGAGCGAAAAACACCAUUGAGCUCGACCUCAGAUCAGGUAGGAGUACCCGCUGAACUUAAGCAUAUCAAUA